rnacentral:misc_RNA from 1 species
GCAGCCGCGGAAACAUCUCCGGGACCUUGUCGUUUGCGAGGGUGAUGAAUGCCGAGACCGGUGUGAGGUGCAGGAACGGGAGGGUCUGGCCCAUGUCGGUCAGAUGGGUGUGGUUAGCGGUAUGGAAGCAUAUGGGCAGGUCCAGCCGCUCGGCCUCGGCAUAGAGAGGGUAGAAGUACGGGUGGCUCGCGGCGCGCUCGUACUCCACGCCCUUCUUGAACACCGCGCACGCACCGUGUUCUUUGGCCCAUUCCAUGUCCACGACCGCUUUGU